rnacentral:rRNA from 1 species
CCUGGCGUCACGGAUGAACGCUGGCGGCGUGCUUAACACAUGCAAGUCGAACGGGUGGCCUUUGACAGAGGAGUUACGUCCGAAUGGAUGAGGUUACCUAGUGCGGACGGGUGAGUAACGCGUGAGUAACCUGCCCUGGAAGUGGGGAAGUAACAAGCUGGAAACAGCUGCUAAUACCGCAUAAUGCAGUUGGGCCGCAUGGCUCUGACUGCCAAAGAUUUAUCGCUCUGGGAUGGACUCGCGUCUGAUUAGCUAGUUGGUGGGGCAACGGCCCACCAAGGCGACGAUCAGUAGCCGGACUGAGAGGUUGGCCGGCCACAUUGGGACUGAGACACGGCCCAGACUCCUACGUGAGGCAGCAGUGGGGAAUAUUGGGCAAUGGGCGCAAGCCUGACCCAGCAACGCCGCGUGAAGGAAGAAGGCUUUCGGGUUGUAAACUUCUUUUGUCAGGGACGAAGCAAGUGACGGUACCUGACGAAUAAGCCACGGCUAACUACGUG